CUCCUCGCGCGCGCAGGAGAAGAACGCGGGAGGAGAAACGCAGAAGUUUUUGGAGCUCGUUUACCUGUGGAGUCUGCAGACAGGCUCUCCUGAUCGCCUCCGAGCUCGAGUGCAGAGUUGUGUACUUGUGCUCAGGGGUUUUCUGGGGUGAUGGCCACUCUACAGGUGGGACACUGACUGCUCUUCUCCAGCCACAUUUUGAUGCAGCUGGAGCAGAACACAUGGUUGUUGCAACAAAUGACCGGCUGCCGGACCUUUGAGGUGCAGAUCCGAACAAAAAGGUCUUUCAUGUCAACACAGCGUAUGGCGACUUGACUUUGUCUAGACUACGAGUGGUCUGACUGUACGCCAGGAGGUCUGAAACUCCGAAUCGGACAUCUACCCCCUUCCUCCCCUUUUGUCUCCUGUCAGUGAGAUCAGCAUCUCAGAAAUACACACAAAAAUCGCUUGCUACUCACUUCAUCGUUCAUAAGUGGAACAAGAGCUGUGUCAACAAGAGACAUCCAUUUCAUCACGAAGUCUCCAGUGAAAUGAGUCAUCCAGCGCAGUGAAAGACCUCAUCACAUGAGCCUACAACACCCUUUCUGAGAUGACAAGCUCACUAUUUUUGUUGUGAAGAGAGAGGUUCUUCUUAAAGAGUCAGACCCUUUUGUUCACUGAUGAUUGACAGGACUUGAUCUUCUCAAGGUUCAGCCCAUCAACUGAAUGACAGCUACAGAUCAUAAAUUAUAGGAAUGCCCCUCCCACAAACACAGGUGAUCCGUCCGGACCCCGGGCCAGGACCCCGGCCCUGAAUUAUUGAGCGUGAGGUGGAGGAUCUGGCAUCACUGCUGUCCACACAAUGAAUUACAAUGUGAAUCCCGCUCUAAUUAUGACUCUUUCAGAUGGCUGACAGGGGAAAAUUGAACCUGAAUAUUUCAUAAUCUGCAUCUCCUCUUCAAAUGAGAGAUCAUUUUGGAAUCGCAUGCUAAUUUUUGCCACGGCCCAGAGUUCCCAAUAACGGUAAUUGGAAAAGUCUCUGAAGGAGCGCUGAAAAUGAGAGAAGAUGAAAUGAUGAGCGUUAAUGCAAACUACCAAACACUGCCACUUUACCAGCUGUUUCUACUCCGUUACUGGGUUGAUUUCUGAUGAUAAAUACAGGCCUCUUGUGGUUUGUGAAGGUCAUAAUACAAGCUCAUAUUUUGAGAUAUGCUGAGAAAUAUGUAAAAAAAAAAAAAAAAAAAAAAACAGACACAAGUUGUAAAUUGAUUUCAGAGACUAUACAAAAUUCAUUAUGGUAACAAUAGUUUUCAUGAAAUAUUGUAUGUAGGCCUGCAUUGUAUGUAUAUAUAUAUAUAUAUAUAUAUAUAAAACACAAAAAAAGUAACGUAGUUAAAUUUUAACUUCAUACUUUUUC